rnacentral:rRNA from 1 species
UUAAGUUAGAAAGGGCGCACGGUGGAUGCCUUGGCACUAGGAGCCGAAGAAGGACGGGACUAACACCGAUAUGCUUUGGGGAGCUGUACGUAAGCGUUGAUCCAGAGAUUUCCGAAUGGGGGAACCCACUAUCUUUAGUCGGAUAGUAUCCUUACGUGAAUACAUAGCGUGAGGAAGGCAGACCCAGGGAACUGAAACAUCUAAGUACCUGGAGGAAGAGAAAGAAAAAUCGAUUUCCUGAGUAGCGGCGAGCGAAACGGAAAGAGCCCAAACCAAGAAGCUUGCUUCUUGGGGUUGUAGGACACUCUAUACGGAGUUACAAAAGAAAGUUAUAAAUGAAGCGGUCUGGAAAGGCCCGCCAAAGACGGUAACAGCCCGGUAGUUGAAAUAGCUUUCCCUCCAGAGUGGAUCCUGAGUACGGCGGAACACGUGAAAUUCCGUCGGAAUCCGGGAGGACCAUCUCCCAAGGCUAAAUACUCCCUAGUGACCGAUAGUGAACCAGUACCGUGAGGGAAAGGUGAAAAGCACCCCGGAAGGGGAGUGAAACAGUUCCUGAAACCGUGUGCCUACAAGUAGUUAGAGCCCGUUAAUGGGUGAUAGCGUGCCUUUUGUAGAAUGAACCGGCGAGUUACGAUUUGUUGCAAGGUUAAGCGGAAAAAGCGGAGCCGUAGCGAAAGCGAGUCUGAAUAGGGCGCAUAAGUAACAGGUCGUAGACCCGAAACCAGGUGAUCUACCCAUGUCCAGGAUGAAGGUAAGGUAAUACUUACUGGAGGUCCGAACCCACGCACGUUGAAAAGUGCGGGGAUGAGGUGUGGGUAGCGGAGAAAUUCCAAUCGAACUUGGAGAUAGCUGGUUCUCUCCGAAAUAGCUUUAGGGCUAGCCUCGAGGUAAAGAGUCAUGGAGGUAGAGCACUGUUUGGACUAGGGGCCCUUCUCGGGUUACCGAAUUCAGAUAAACUCCGAAUGCCAUGUACUUAUACUCGGGAGUCAGACUGCGAGUGAUAAGAUCCGUAGUCGAAAGGGAAACAGCCCAGACCACCAGUUAAGGUCCCCAAAUAUAUGUUAAGUGGAAAAGGAUGUGGGGUUGCUUAGACAACCAGGAUGUUGGCUUAGAAGCAGCCACCAUUGAAAGAGUGCGUAAUAGCUCACUGGUCGAGUGACCCCGCGCCGAAAAUGUACCGGGGCUAAACAUAUUACCGAAACUGUGGAUGAACCUCUUUAGAGGUUCGUGGUAGGAGAGCGUUCUAAGGGCGGUGAAGUCAGACCGGAAGGACUGGUGGAGCGCUUAGAAGUGAGAAUGCCGGUAUGAGUAGCGAAAGAAGGGUGAGAAUCCCUUCCACCGAAUAUCUAAGGUUUCCUGAGGAAGGCUCGUCCGCUCAGGGUUAGUCGGGACCUAAGCCGAGGCCGAUAGGCGUAGGCGAUGGACAACAGGUAGAGAUUCCUGUACCAGUGCUAAUUGUUUAACCGAUGGGGUGACACAGAAGGAUAGGGAAUCGCACGAAUGGAAAUGUGCGUCCAAGCAGUGAGUGUGAGAAGUAGGCAAAUCCGCUUCUCGCGAAGCAUGAGCUGUGAUGGGGAAGGAAAUUAAGUACGGAAGUUCCUGAUUUCACGCUGUCAAGAAAAGCCUCUAGGAAGAGUAGUACUGCCCGUACCGCAAACCGACACAGGUAGAUGAGGAGAGAAUCCUAAGGUGAGCGAGAGAACUCUCGUUAAGGAACUCGGCAAAAUGACCCCGUAACUUCGGGAGAAGGGGUGCUCUAUUAGGGUGCAAGCCCGAGAGAGCCGCAGUGAAUAGGCCCAGGCGACUGUUUAGCAAAAACACAGGUCUCUGCAAAACCGUAAGGUGACGUAUAGGGGCUGACGCCUGCCCGGUGCUGGAAGGUUAAGAGGAGUGCUUAGCUUCGGCGAAGGUACGAAUUGAAGCCCCAGUAAACGGCGGCCGUAACUAUAACGGUCCUAAGGUAGCGAAAUUCCUUGUCGGGUAAGUUCCGACCCGCACGAAAGGCGCAACGAUCUGGGCACUGUCUCAACGAGAGACUCGGUGAAAUUAUAGUACCUGUGAAGAUGCAGGUUACCCGCGACAGGACGGAAAGACCCCGUGGAGCUUUACUGCAACCUGAUAUGGAAUGUUUGUACCGCUUGUACAGGAUAGGUAGGAGCCGAAGAGACGUGUGCGCUAGCGAAGUCAAUUUGACGCAAGGAAUCUUAUUCACGGUGUUGAAUAAGUAUUCAAAUUCAAUUUAUAUUUUAAAGAGAGUUUGAUCCUGGCUCAGGACGAACGCUGGCGGCGUGCCUAAUACAUGCAAGUCGAACGAACGGAGGAAGAGCUUGCUCUUCCAAAGUUAGUGGCGGACGGGUGAGUAACACGUGGGCAACCUGCCUGUAAGUUGGGGAUAACUCCGGGAAACCGGGGCUAAUACCGAAUGAUAGAAUGUGGCGCAUGCCACGCUUUUGAAAGAUGGUUUCGGCUAUCGCUUACAGAUGGGCCCGCGGUGCAUUAGCUAGUUGGUAGGGUAAUGGCCUACCAAGGCAACGAUGCAUAGCCGACCUGAGAGGGUGAUCGGCCACACUGGGACUGAGACACGGCCCAGACUCCUACGGGAGGCAGCAGUAGGGAAUCUUCCGCAAUGGACGAAAGUCUGACGGAGCAACGCCGCGUGUAUGAAGAAGGUUUUCGGAUCGUAAAGUACUGUUGUUAGAGAAGAACAAGGAUAAGAGUAACUGCUUGUCCCUUGACGGUAUCUAACCAGAAAGCCACGGCUAACUACGUGCCAGCAGCCGCGGUAAUACGUAGGUGGCAAGCGUUGUCCGGAUUUAUUGGGCGUAAAGCGCGCGCAGGCGGUCUUUUAAGUCUGAUGUGAAAGCCCCCGGCUUAACCG